AGUCUACGAAACCCCACAGCUCCUAAGAAUUCUCUCACCUGCCUUCUGCCCUUAAGCUCCGGUAGAUUGCAAAUAACCUGCUUUCUUUCUGUUCCCGAGCUGCGUUCGGACCCAUGUCUUAUUGUAAAUCCCACGCAAGGUACCUGCCGUCGGAAGAUUUGAGCUUUCUUCUUGAACACCUCAUACCCACAGUCCUCCAGCUGCGUUCGGACCCGUCUGAUCGUAAAUCCCAUGUAAGGUACCUGCCGUCGGAAGAUUUGAACGUUCUACUUGGACACCUAAAACCCACAGUCCUCCAGAUUUGAACUUUCUACUUGGACAACUAACACCCACAGUCCUCCAGGUACCUGCCGUCGGAAGAUUUGAGCUUUCUUCUUGAACACCUCAUACCCACAGUCCUCCAGACAGAAAGACAACAGGUACAAAGCCCUAAGGAUUAUAAAGGUAUGCUGCUUACCAUCAUCUUAGUGACCAAGGCAGCGAAGCUGUUUCUGUACCUUGGAACAGUCUUCCCUGACAAGCCAGAGAACAGUGAUAAAGCCACCAGCCUUGGGAUCAGGACUGAAAAGGCAAGAGUGAUGGAGAUUUCUCCUGCGCUAAGCCAAGAGAAGGUUUCAGCACUUCAGACAGCUCCCACCGAAGUAGCCGCGCUCCCAGCUGCUUGCAGAUGUUGAAAAGGAAAGCCUCGGUUUGUCUUGAGGUUGUCAGCAGGUGCAAGACACGUAAUAAAAUGCAAUGUGUUCCUAA
rnacentral:lncRNA from 1 species